rnacentral:rRNA from 1 species
GAUGAACGCUGGCGGCGUGCCUAAUACAUGCAAGUCGAGCGAACGGACGAGAAGCUUGCUUCUCUGAUGUUAGCGGCGGACGGGUGAGUAACACGUGGAUAACCUACCUAUAAGACUGGGAUAACUUCGGGAAACCGGAGCUAAUACCGGAUAAUAUUUUGAACCGCAUGGUUCAAAAGUGAAAGACGGUCUUGCUGUCACUUAUAGAUGGAUCCGCGCUGCAUUAGCUAGUUGGUAAGGUAACGGCUUACCAAGGCAACGAUGCAUAGCCGACCUGAGAGGGUGAUCGGCCACACUGGAACUGAGACACGGUCCAGACUCCUACGGGAGGCAGCAGUAGGGAAUCUUCCGCAAUGGGCGAAAGCCUGACGGAGCAACGCCGCGUGAGUGAUGAAGGUCUUCGGAUCGUAAAACUCUGUUAUUAGGGAAGAACAUAUGUGUAAGUAACUGUGCACAUCUUGACGGUACCUAAUCAGAAAGCCACGGCUAACUACGUGCCAGCAGCCGCGGUAAUACGUAGGUGGCAAGCGUUAUCCGGAAUUAUUGGGCGUAAAGCGCGCGUAGGCGGUUUUUUAAGUCUGAUGUGAAAGCCCACGGCUCAACCGUGGAGGGUCAUUGGAAACUGGAAAACUUGAGUGCAGAAGAGGAAAGUGGAAUUCCAUGUGUAGCGGUGAAAUGCGCAGAGAUAUGGAGGAACACCAGUGGCGAAGGCGACUUUCUGGUCUGUAACUGACGCUGAUGUGCGAAAGCGUGGGGAUCAAACAGGAUUAGAUACCCUGGUAGUCCACGCCGUAAACGAUGAGUGCUAAGUGUUAGGGGGUUUCCGCCCCUUAGUGCUGCAGCUAACGCAUUGAGCACUCCGCCUGGGGAGUACGACCGCAAGGUUGAAACUCAAAGGAAUUGACGGGGACCCGCACAAGCGGUGGAGCAUGUGGUUUAAUUCGAAGCAACGCGAAGAACCUUACCAAAUCUUGACAUCCUUUGACAACUCUAGAGAUAGAGCUUUCCCCUUCGGGGGACAAAGUGACAGGUGGUGCAUGGUUGUCGUCAGCUCGUGUCGUGAGAUGUUGGGUUAAGUCCCGCAACGAGCGCAACCCUUAAGCUUAGUUGCCAUCAUUAAGUUGGGCACUCUAAGUUGACUGCCGGUGACAAACCGGAGGAAGGUGGGGAUGACGUCAAAUCAUCAUGCCCCUUAUGAUUUGGGCUACACACGUGCUACAAUGGACAAUACAAAGGGCAGCGAAACCGCGAGGUCAAGCAAAUCCCAUAAAGUUGUUCUCAGUUCGGAUUGUAGUCUGCAACUCGACUACAUGAAGCUGGAAUCGCUAGUAAUCGUAGAUCAGCAUGCUACGGUGAAUACGUUCCCGGGUCU